CGGCCAGUGGCAAAGGGGUCUAACGCAUCUCCGUACCAAGGAGCCGAUUGUGGGUUCGAAUCCCGCUUGGUUGG
rfam:Operophtera brumata OBRT01_Sc02308, whole genome shotgun sequence.